rnacentral:rRNA from 1 species
GAUGAACGCUGGCGGCGUGCCUAAUACAUGCAAGUCGAGCGAGCGGCGGACGGGUGAGUAAUGUCUGGGAAACUGCCUGAUGGAGGGGGAUAACUCCUGGAAACGGUAGCUAAUACCGCAUACCAUCCGAUUUGCCCAGAUGGGAUUAGCUAGUAGGUGGGGUAAUGGCUCACCUAGGGGACGAUCCCUAGCUGGUCUGAGAGGAUGACCAGCCACACUGGAACUGAGACACGGUCCAGACUCCUACGGGAGGCAGCAGUGGGGAAUAUUGCACAAUGGGCGCAAGCCUGAUGCAGCCAUGCCGCGUGUAUGAAGAAGGCCUUCGGGUUGUAAAGUACUUUCAGCGGGGAGGCGUUACCCGCAGAAGAAGCACCGGCUAACUCCGUGCCAGCAGCCGCGGUAAUUC